ensembl:lncRNA
CUCUGUUUAACUGGUGAUGACCACACACUUUCAGAGAACAAUCCUCCAGCACAACAAAGGAACCAGGGAUUCCUGCAGCCCUGCCAAGCCUCACAUCCCCACAGCCCCUUAGUGGCCCCCUGAUCCCUCCAGGACUCCUGGCUGAGCCAGCAAGGCAGCCCUCCCCUCGGGGUGUGCAGGAACAUUUGCCACCAGACCUCACCAUAUGAUGGAUCCCGUGGGUCAUCAUCCAGCUCCAGUGCCUGUGCCCGGAUCUGCCUCUGGCUGUGCCCACGGAGGCCUCGUGCUCAGUCUCUGGGAGCAGCCUCUCCACCCUGGCAGUUGGCUCCAUGCUGGGUUUUGCUCACGCUUCUGAGCUCAGGAAGCAAAGUGUUAUCAAGUGCUUCUGAAGUGGUGGUGGCCCUCGAGCUGAGAACCAGAGCACUUCACCAGCUCUUUGUUCCCUUUCUCGGAGCUGUCUGGCUCUUCUCAAAGGACUAACAGUUUGCAGAUGCUGUUUGUUCAAUAAAAAGAGUAACCUCGUCUCCAGCUUCAGUAAAAACGUCUGCAAGAACUGCUGCUUUCUGCCUUGCUCCCAGCAGUGCAUCUGGGUGUUCUGUCACCACAAAAAGCAGAGAGGCCGGGGUUUGAGUCAAGGCCUGAGGUUUGGGGUUUUGGGUUAAGAUCUGGGGAGAGAUCCACUCGUUAUUGAGGACAUCCUGCAGCCCUGCCAGGCUCUGAAGGCAACACAUGGUGACAAGGUGCUGAAGUCAUCAUCCUAAAUCAGAGAUUUUAGUGGCUGACAUUCAGUAUUCUGAGAUUUUUCAAAAGCAUUUUAAAAAGCCUGAAGAGCAGUGGAAUCCUGGGUGGUUCAGGCUCUCUAGGUGUUUGCGAGUGAUUCAUCAGAACACUCUGACAGCAGCUUUUGUACAAUUUGUUGUCUCUGUGGACAGAGACAACAAAUCCCAGAUGGGUGAAGUAGCUUUGGCUGAAUCUGGGGUUGAUCUGCCUACAAAACCAGGGUGGCCCUACAUCCUGCCCUUUCUCUCCUCUACCUGUGCCCUGUCUGGUGUGAAGGGUGCCAAGGACUUCAUGGCAGCAAAGAUGUGCUCACAGCUCUCCGGGCCAUCACAGAGCUCGGACAGGGGAUGUCACAGGAUGGGCCCUUGGCUGCGAUCCCAGUGUUGCCCUGGCAUGGGCGAGUGUGGCCUGGCAUUGCUGGAGAUUCGUGCCCUUCCUGCUCUCUGCCUGGCAGCUGCUGUUGUUAUCUCCAUUGCCAUGGCAAUGCCAGCCUGGCUCCCACGGCGUGUCCGCCUGUGCCUCCGCCAGGCAGACGCGGUCCCACGCCGGGCUGGAGCCCCGCUCCCACCACAGCUCACCCAGCUGAACAGCCACGCCACAGACAGGGGUUUAGCACAACCCCAAAACGCUGUGGGGAUGGAGAUGGGCAUGUCCCCUCCCCCGGGAGGUGAUAUCUGGGUGGGAAGCAGGGGGAGAAGGAGAGUCUGCACCUGGAACAUCUCCCAGCCCUGCCCUGCUGUGUCCAGCCAGGUGCCUUCCACCACAGCAGGACCCCUGUGCCCCACAGCCACCCUGGGCUCAGCCAUAGCCCCCCUGUGCUGGUACCAGCCCCUGGCCCCAAAAGUCGUAUUGAUCAGCACCUGGCUGCACCAAUAUUAAAGUGUUUGCCAGCAACUGCUGAUUUAACAAAUCCUCCUGUCUGCUUAUUUAUGCCAUCUUCCCGCCUCCCACCUGGACCUUCUUGAUGCUUUAGGAAUUUUGCAAAUGUUUUAAAGGCUGCAUUUCAAAGUGCACCAGGCAGCUAGCAAGGAGCAGGUCACUGGAAAGGGUGAGGAGAGGCAGAAAAGAUCCUCCACCCUGCAAGGCAGCCGCUGCUCUCACCAUCAUCCAUCCUUGCAUGCUCCCUGCACUCUCCCACUGCAGUUCCUUGUGUUCUGUGCACCCACCCUGGCCCCAGCCCCAAGGCUGGAUGCAGGGGUUUGAAUUAAUGGUGAGGGGAAGUCCAAAGCGGCGCUUCCCAUCCACUGGUUGCCUUUUCCUGGCUGUGGAGGCAAGAUCUGGGCCCAGGUCCGUGUUGGAUUGCCAGCCUCAAAGCAGGAGAGCGAAGUGCAAAUGGAAAAGCAGAACAGAG